UGGGGAAUAUUCCGCAAUGGACGAAAGUCUGACGGAGCAACGCCGCGUGAGUGAUGAAGGUUUUCGGACUGUAAAGCUCUGUUGUUUAGGACGAAAGUGCCUGUUGCGAACAGUUACAGGUAUUGACGGUACUAAACGAGGAAGCCACGGCUAACUACGUGCCAGCAGCCGCGGUAAUACGUAGGUGGCAAGCGUUGUCCGGAAUUAUUGGGCGUAAAGAGCAUGUAGGCGGAGAUUUAAGUCUGUUGUGAAAAUGCGGGGCUCAACCCCGUAUUGCGAUGGAGACUGAAGUGCUUGGGUGCAGGAGAGGAAAGGGGGAUUCCCAGUGUAGCGGUGAAAUGCGUAGAUAUUGGGAGGAACACCAGUGGCGAAGGCGCCUUUCUGGACUGUGUCUGACGCUGAGAUGCGAAAGCCAGGGUAGCGAAC
rnacentral:rRNA from 1 species